AUGAGUUCGUCGUAUGAUUCUUCCGAAGAAGAAUUUGAUAUGGAAGAGGAGGAGGAUCUUGCAAUGAUCCUAGCUAUGCACAUCAAUAAAAAACCGAAGCACAGUGGUUCGGUUAUGAGCCGGCAGAAAAUUUGGAGGGAUAGGAUCAAUGCCCAUAACAGAUUGAUGAGGCACUAUUUCGUGGAGAAUUCCACAUACCCAGAGUCGUACUUUCGUCGACGGUUUAGGAUGAGCACCAAGUUGUUCAGGCGCAUUGCAGAGAAACUAGCGAGCCAUGACCGAUUUUUUCAGCAAAGGAGGAAUGCCGCCGGAGAGCUCGGGCAUAGCACCUUUCAGAAGAUGACAGCCGCUUUGCGUAUGUUGGCAUACGGUAUCCCGGCUGAUCUAGUUGAUGAUCACUUGGCUAUGGGUGAGAGCCAAGCCAUCAUGUGUGUCAAGCGCUUCGCAGUCGGAAUUGUCCAAGUGUUUGGCCAGGAGUAUUUGAGAUCUCCCAAUGCUGAAGAUGCCGCGGCUUCCCAGGUAUGCUUGGCUCAAUAG
rnacentral:rRNA from 1 species